AUGCGAACACCCUUCCCUGGUGCCUCGAUGCCUGACCGCCCCCGCCGGAGACACCCCAUCGCCGUGUCAAUCUCAUCUUUCGGGAUUGGAAUUGACUGGGUCAAGCUUCAUGCCUUCAAAGUAAAAUCUCAACAUGAAAAAAUUCGUCUAGGAGUAUGGCAGGAUACUUUUCCAAGAGCCUCAAUUGCAGGAUGCCGUCAUGAGCACUCUCGACGGUUUUCUGGAAGACUAUCUUGGGAACAAGAAAACUAUCAGGGGUCAGGUCAGGCUUUGCAACCAGCAGAUAUGCACAGUACCGCGAUAAGCUGUUUGCAAUGGUGUAGGACUCCCGAAGCUUGUCAGGCAACUUCCCAUUUGACUUUGAUGAGCAGCUAUUUGUGA
rnacentral:rRNA from 1 species